rnacentral:tRNA from 1 species
UGGGGCGUGGUGCAACGGCAGCACAGCAGACUUUGAAUCUGUUGAUCUUGGUUCGAAUCCGAGCGCCCCAGCUA